GUGUGUAACAACUCACCUGCCGAAGAAGCUAGCCCUGAAAAUGGAUGACGCCCAAGCUCCGUGCUUAUACUCGGCCGUCGGAUGGCAUACGGGGAAUUCGGCUUAACGGCCGGUUCGCCCAUCAAGCCCCGACGAGUAGGGUGUACGUGGCGGUGAGCGCAGAAGGGUCUUAGACGUGAGUCUACCUGGAGCCGCCGUUAGUGAAGAUCUUGGUGGUAGUAGCAAAUACUCGAUAGAGGACCUGGAGGACUGACGUGGAGAAGGGUUUCGCGUGAACAGCAGUUGCACGCGAGUCAGUCGAUCCUAAGCACUAGGGGAAACCCGAUGUCG
rnacentral:rRNA from 1 species